rnacentral:rRNA from 1 species
UACGUAGGGUGCAGGCAUUAAUCGGAAUUACUGGGCGUAAAGCGUGCGCAGGCGGUUUCUUAAGUCAGAUGUGAAAGCCCCGGGCUUAACCUGGGAACUGCGUUUGAAACUGGGAGACUGGAGUGUGGCAGAGGGGGGUGGAAUUCCACGUGUAGCAGUGAAAUGCGUAGAUAUGUGGAGGAACACCGAUGGCGAAGGCAGCCCCCUGGGUUAACACUGACGCUCAUGCACGAAAGCGUGGGGAGCAAACAGG